GCUCAAACUUUGAUGCUGUCAACGAGACGAUCAACACAUUAGCUUCCACCUCCGAUCCGAGUUCCUUGCAACGGCAAGAACUUAUAAUGCUGACUGCUGAUUCUGCUCGCAAGAUUUCAGGCUUACCUGCUAUAACUGAACACGCUCUUUCUCCACAACUACAUGCUUCCGUUGUUCCAGGCAGUGGCGGACCCAAGAAUAUGAUCGAUCCAUUCUGCUGCCCCA
rnacentral:lncRNA from 1 species